rnacentral:rRNA from 1 species
AUUGAACGCUGGCGGCAGGCCUAACACAUGCAAGUCGAACGAGUGGCGGACGGGUGAGUAAUGUCUGGGAAACUGCCUGCUGGAGGGGGAUAACUACUGGAAACGGUAGCUAAUACCGCAUACCAUCGGAUGUGCCCAGAUGGGAUGGGCUAGUAGGUGGGGUAAAGGCUCACCUAGGCGACGAUACCGAGCUGGUCUGAGAGGGUGACCAGCGACACUGAAACUGAGACACGGUCCAGACUCCUACGGGAGGCAGCAGUGGGGGAUAGUGCACAAUGGGCGAAAGCAUGAUGCAGCCAUGCCGCGUGUAUGAAGAAGGCCUUCGGGUUGUAAAGUACUUUCAGCGGGGAGGCGUUACCCGCAGAAGAGGCACCGGCUAACUCCGUGCCAGCAGCCGCGGUAAUAC